rnacentral:rRNA from 1 species
UACGUAGGGUGCAAGCGUUGUCCGGAAUUAUUGGGCGUAAAGAGCUCGUAGGCGGUUUGUCGCGUCUGCUGUGAAAACUCGGGGCUUAACUCCGGGCCUGCAGUGGGUACGGGCAGACUAGAGUGCGGUAGGGGAGACUGGAAUUCCUGGUGUAGCGGUGAAAUGCGCAGAUAUCAGGAGGAACACCGGUGGCGAAGGCGGAUCUCUGGGCCUUACCUGACGCUCAGGCACGAAAGCUAGGGGAGCGAACAGG